AUGUGGGCAUGCAGGGGAGCCUUGCAUGCCCCUGCUGUGCCCACUGGCAACGGGCACCAACCAAAACACAUCAGGCUCCCUCUGAACACAAGAAACCACCUUUUUUACUGCGUGGGCAGUCAGACGCUGGCACGGGUUGUCCAGAAAGCUGUGGAGUCUCUGUCUGCGGUGACACAAACCCCAGCGGGAUGCGGCUGCCCCUGCCUUGGCAGGGGGUGCAGUGCAUGGCAUCCGAGGUGCCUCCGGCCUGAGCUGUUCUGCAAGAGGGGAAGGGGAAAAAGAAGGGGAAGGGGAAAGAAAAGGCUGCUAGUGCACCUGCGGCACCUGGCUGCCAGCCUCUGCUGCCCACCCGCUUAUCCCUGCCUGCCCACCUCAGCACCUCUGCCUCUGGGGGGCUGCACUUGCCUCUCUCCCCAAAAUCAGCCCCAACUUUUGCCUUCCCCUCGGAAGGACAAAAAGAUUUCACGCAUAGCUUGCCCCGAACAAAGGCACCUCACGCCAGGGCUUUCUUUUCCUUCUCUGUUUCUUUCUUUCCCACCGCAGGCUGACAGCAGCAGGGCGGCCGGGGCGGGGGGAGCUCCGUUUUGCACCAGCUCGGUGCCAAAGAGCAGCUCGGGAAGCACCGCGAGCUCCGGGGGCACGAGGGGAGGGCAGCGGGGGCAGAGGCAGGCCGUGGGCCCUGGGGACCCGCGGAGCCACCUCGAGGAACCCGCGGGCAGCGGCCGGGAGCCCCGCAGAGCGCAGACGGCGCCGCGCCCCGUGGCAACGCGGGGAGCUCCGGGCAGCACCGCGCUGCUGCGAGCCCCGGGCACCUGCGGGGCGGAGCCGCGGCGGCGUCGGGGCACGGGGACGGCGGCAGCGGGGCAGGGACGAGCCCGCUGCCGGCUGCGGUCGGGGGGCAGGAGGGGACGGGACGGGACGGGGCAGGACGGGGCCCGGUGUCCGUGUGUCCGCCCGUGCCCGUGUCCGUGUGCUCGCGGCGGGGGAGGCGCUGCCCCGCCCGGCCCCGUCCCGCCGCCCGCAGCAGCCCCGUUUCGCUCCGCUCCGCACCGGGCGCCGUCGAGCGCCGCGAUCGGUGCCCCGCCGGCAGAGCCCCGGGACGGG
rnacentral:lncRNA from 1 species